UACGGAGGGGGCUAGCGUUGUUCGGAAUUACUGGGCGUAAAGCGCGCGUAGGCGGACCUGCAAGUCGGGUGUGAAAGCCCGAGGCUCAACCUCGGAACUGCCUUCGAUACUGCGGGUCUCGAGUCCGGGAGAGGAUAGUGGAAUUCCCAGUGUAGAGGUGAAAUUCGUAGAUAUUGGGAAGAACACCGGUGGCGAAGGCGGCUAUCUGGCCCGUAAUUGACGCUGAGGCGCGAAAGCGUGGGGAGCAAACAGG
rnacentral:rRNA from 1 species